rnacentral:rRNA from 1 species
CCUACGGGAGGCAGCAGUGAGGAAUAUUGGUCAAUGGACGAGAGUCUGAACCAGCCAAGUAGCGUGAAGGAUGACUGCCCUAUGGGUUGUAAACUUCUUUUAUAAAGGAAUAAAACGAGGCACGUGUGCCUUUUUGCAUGUACUUUAUGAAUAAGGAUCGGCUAACUCCGUGCCAGCAGCCGCGGUAAUACGGAGGAUCCGAGCGUUAUCCGGAUGUAUUGGGUGUAAAGGGAGCGUAGAUGGGUUGUUAAGUCAGUUGUGAAAGUUUGCGGCUCAACCGUAAAACUGCAAUUGAUACUGGCAGUCUUGAGUACAGUUGAGGUAGGCGGAAUUCGUGGUGUAGCGGUGAAAUGCUUAGAUAUCACGAAGAACCCCGAUUGCGAAGGCAGCUUACUAAACUGUGACUGACAUUGAUGCUCGAAAGUGUGGGUAUCAAACAGGAUUAGAUACCCUGGUAGUC